ACGGGGGAUCCGAGCGUUAUCCGGAUUUAUUGGGUUUAAAGGGUGCGCAGGCGGUUUUAUAAGUCAGAGGUGAAAAAUCACGGCUCAACUGUGGUGCUUCCUUUGAUACUGUAUGUCUAGAGUAUAGUUGGAGUGGGCGGAAUGUAGCAUGUAGCGGUGAAAUGCUUAGAUAUGAUACAGAACACCGAUCGUGAAGGCAGCUCACUAAGCUAUAACUGACGCUCAGGCACGAAAGCAUGGGGAGCAAACAG
rnacentral:rRNA from 1 species